UUGUUGUGGUCUGAGUCGGUGUUAAAAGAUUCGUGGAUAAUGGAAACAGGUGACAUAUAAGCCAAAUCAGUCCAGCGCAUAUUUUUUCCCCAAAUUAUAGAUGUCGCAUAAUAGAGAAUUUUCAUGAUCUUUUAUACUUUCGAUAAAUAUUUUUAAGGUGAUAGUUCACGCAUUUUCGAAGAACUUUGCGCUCGAAGACUUCAAGUUCAUUGGCAACAGUUGGGGAAAUGGAGAACCAAAUAGGGCAUCCGUACAUUGAAAUAGAUCUGACGGCUGCUUUGUAAAGCAACAGUUUUGUAAUUUGAGUGUGUCUUGCGAGUGUGUUAAAUUUAAACAGUUGGUUGAAAUGUUUCCCAAGGUAUUUGAUGGACAAUUUUAUUGGGAUGUUGAUCCUAUCAAGUGAAAGCCACAGGUAUUUUCUUUCAGAAACUGUUGAUGACUCUGAGAUGUGUGCUUGCCGUAUUUAAUAUCUGAGUAGGAGAUGAAUAGUGAAAGUAGAUCUUGCAGUCGUCAGCGUAGAGAAUAGUCUGGGAAUACCCAUAAGUGUGCACACUAAACACAAGAGGACACAUGCUACUCGCCUAUGUCGACGACAUCGAUAUCAUAGGUCGGUCACCGGAAGUAG
rnacentral:sRNA from 1 species